AGGAGGACCCAGAACCAAGGUGUGUCCGCCCUUAUAUAGACAUUUUAAAUUGCCCGCCUUGGAGUCCAAGACCACCCCCAGAAACAUCAUACCUACAUCACAGAAGGGGUGUAGCUCAAGACCACCACCCCAGAUACAUCAUACCUACAUCACAGAAAGGGCGGUCAACAGCAGAAAUCUGAGUGUUUUGUUUACCUCCUGUCUGGCAAGUUACCUGUUAAUGCUUACUUGACUGGAUACCCUGGAGAGCCUGGCCAGUCUUUUGUAAUGAUAAAUACUUAGUUCCUGAGCCAGUUCACAGGCUCACACUAUUCAUACACAGACAUACCCUUAAGAGAGGAUUUGUGAAGGAAAAGACAAUGGGGAGGCUUUUCCAUUUUCCUUUGACUUUGCAGAGAAAACAUUUGGUCAGUUUGGGAGUAAAAAAUUGCUCCAGGGCUGUUUUCCUGUGCUGCUUCAGACAUGUGGUUUAUAUAUUUAUGUACGUGUUUGCUUGGUACAUUUAUGAACAUUUAUUAUAUAUAUAAGACCUUAAUUUUUUUUUAUUUCAGUGCCCUCAACCCAAUCUCUGCUCUCUCUGGUCAAAACACCACAAACAAUCCCUCAGACCAAGAGGCAGUGCGGAUUGUCCUGGUAAGGCAGAUGGAAUAGUUAGAUGGAAUAUUGUGGCAGACAGCAAGAGAGAAUCCAAAUUGCUUCCUCGGCGGAGAUACUCAAUUUCCCCCUUUGCGCAGCCAUCAAGGGGCUUCCUUAAAGCACCAGCCAUCUGACCGGUGUUGAAAUCAUUUGACUGAACGGAGAAGUAUUAAAUGUUCAAAAUAAACAGCAGCGGUCCCAAUCCACC